AAUCAACGCUGGCGGCGUGCCUCAGACAUGCAAGUCGAACGAUUAAAGCUCUCUUCGGAGAGUGCAUAAAGUGGCGCACGGGUGAGUAACACGUAAGUAAUCUACCUUCGAGUGGGAAUAACGUCCGGAACGGACGCUAAUACCGCAUAACGCAGCGGCAUCGCAAGAUGACAGUUAGUUAAAGAUUUAUCGCUUGAAGAGGAGCUUGCGGCAGAUUAGCUUGUUGGUAAGGUAACGGCUUACCAAGGCUACGAUCUGUAACCGGUCUAAGAGGACGGUCGGUCACACUGACACUGAAUAACGGGUCAGACUCCUACGGGAGGCAGCAGUCGGGAAUUUUGGGCAAUGGGGGAAACCCUGACCCAGCAACGCCGCGUGAAGGAUGAAGUAUUUCGGU
rnacentral:rRNA from 1 species